CCAGCAGCCGCGGUAAUACGGAGGGUGCGAGCGUUAAUCGGAAUUACUGGGCGUAAAGCGCAUGCAGGUGGUUGUUAAGUCAGAUGUGAAAGCCCGGGGCUCAACCUCGGAAUUGCAUUUGAAACUGGCAAACUAGAGUACUGUAGAGGGGGUAGAAUUUCAGGUGUAGCGGUGAAAUGCGUAGAGAUCUGAAGGAAUACCGGUGGCGAAGGCGGCCCCCUGGACCAGAUACUGACACUCAGAUGCGAAAGCGUGGGGAGCAAACAGGAUUAGAUACCCUCGGUAG
rnacentral:rRNA from 1 species